CAAUAAUUUCAGAAAUAACUUUUCUUUUUUUUUAUGAAAUACUCCCAUUUUCUGUCUUGAAAAUGGAGAAUGUAAAAUUUUCUUCAUUCUGUAUUUAUAACAGCGUAAACUCUAGUCUAUUUGUAGAAAUCUCUGUAGUCCUACAUACUAUAAAUACUCCUAAAGUCCUCUCUGGCUAUUCAAUUCCGAAAUCAUAAAACUUCUUUGGAAAUAAUAAUAAAUGCCUUCAUACAUAAGAAUGGUGUCAAGGAUUUAAGUUGUGCUCACAUAUGUGAACAUACUCUUUCAUUUCAGUCUUUCCCUUAAAAUAAUUAAAACUAUAUUGCCAAAGUAUAUUCAAAAUGGUACAUCAUAUAUCUAAUAGAAUAAAUGAGUUAAGGUGCUACUUGUUCUUAUUCUAAAAUAAAGCCAAGUAUGAUGUGUCCUGCUAGGUGUUUCAGUUUUUCUGACUGGGAUUUACAUUUUCUGUGCUGAGGUAAGUAGGUUAAAUUGCUUCUUCAAUAACAUUUGUUAGUUCUGCAUGAUACUUCUUCCAGUGAGCACACAGUGUUUUCCAUAGUCGUUAUUUUGCUCUCCAUUAUUGUUUCUGUUGUACUUCACAAUCACAGAAUGGUUGAGGUUGGAAGGGACCUCUGGAGGGUCACAGUCCAUCCCCUUUGCUCAGGGGAGGGUCAACUAGAGCACUGCAUAACAAACCAAGCAAGCUCCAAAGACAAAUAUGUUAAAAAAUAAAAAUAAAAAUUGUGAGUAUAAAAGAGAUCAAGUGAGAGAACACCACAGCUUAACACGCCAGGAUGUUUAUGGGAAAGAUAUUGAGGAUAUUUUAACUGAUAGUUCGUGGGUGCAGGACUAAAAUGUGAUCUCCCUUCCCUCUCUAUAGAAUUUAGCUGCACAGAACUGCUGUUGCCUGUAGCUGACAGGAAACCCUGAAGCAAAUUGAGGUGUUAUUUAUUUAAAAACUAGCUGUCAGUGUCUAUUCUAGACAGGGAAAAUUAAAGAAAAAGGCAGACAGAGAAGCAAAAAUCAGUCUAGCUCAGUUGCUGACCUGAGAAAACAGCAACAGAACUAAAAGGGGAAAUGAAAAUAUUUCUGAAAAACUUUGAAUUAAUUCUAUAAUGUUGUUUUGAGAAACCACAUAUACAUAUGGAGCUAGAAAAAUACAGCACAAGAUGGCAAAAGUAGUAGUUUCUCCAGUGUAGCAUAAACAACUUAUUUGGCUUUCAGGAAUGCAGAAUGACUUAAGAAAGGAACUGCAAAGAAAAAGGAUAUCGGGAUUCUGAAAAUCUGUGACAGAGAACAGAGAGAGAGACAGUAAUGAAUGGUAGCAAGAUGAGGUGAUAAAAUGGUGAGUACAGAAGAGAACAAGAUGACACAGUGGGAAAACAAAACAGGGAUCAGGGUUUACAGAUGAAUCUGAGCCCAGAGUUUAUGGAAUUAUCGUUGUAAGAUGAAAAAGGGGAUGGCACACACAAAAAAGGAGAAAAGCCAGUGACUUGAAACAUAAAGGAAGGUAACAGCUGUUCUCCUGUUUCCCUAAGUUGGAUCAUUUACCACAUCCAUAUUUCAAAUAGUAAUUACGUAGUGUUGGAGCCAACAACAGCAGGGACUUUAUUAAUGAAUGCAUAGAUCAGAUAAACAACUGCGGAAGACUAAUUUUACUAGUAAACUUCAGCAUUUCCAUUUCCUAUAAGAAUAAAGAUGCAUACACUAGUGUCUGAAAAUUUUAAAGGCAUGAAAAGUAAGAAUGCAGACACUAUUUCCAACAGUAAUCAAAAGUUCUUCUAUGUUACCACAACUGAAUGAUUCAACAGAACUAUCAAGUUUUGACAUACUUCACACAUACAUGAUUAACAUUUUAGCAUUUUGGGGGGGGGGGGGGGAAGCCACAAAAACCCAAACCACCACCAAAAAACACCCCUUCCCCAACCAAACAAAACAAAGAAAGAUUUACUUUUCUAUAGCAAGCUGUACUAAAUCAGAACCCUUAGCACUUUUCUGCAAUCAGAACUCGCUGGCUACUAUUCACUAUCCAAACAAGUCUGAGUACUCUAUCUGGCUUGUACCAAAAUGUGCAACUUCUGCCAGAGAGAGGUUUUCAUGUUUUACUGUAAGCAACAACGGCCUCUGGAAUACUGUAUAUACAUGUUUUGCUGAUCGGUUUCAAAGUUCCAAAUAAACACAAGGCCUGCACUUAGACCUGCCUCUCAGGAGAUGGGAUAAGCAACUUUUCUUCUCAGCUUGAAACAAUCCGGCUAGAGUCUUUGCACUGUGUAUACAUGGUCACUACUCACUUCUUUGGGCAACAUUGACUCCCCUUCUUUUGGAAUAAGGUUCUACUUUCUUGAUGAGAAAACUAAAUUUAGCUGUAGGCAUUCCUUUAUUAAGCACCACAAAUAAUAAUCUUUUCUUGAGCAUUCCUCAGCACAAUUCGUAUCUUAAAAUUUAGUUAUCAUACGGAAGGAGCUUGGAUAGUUAACUCUUUUUAUAGUUUCUUUCCAAGUUUUCCUGAUCUUAAGUGCUAGCAUCUAAGUCACCCAUAAAACUCAAAGAAAAGGUCAUUUUUAAGUUUGGGUGGGGUUUUUUUAAGAGAAAAAGAAAAGAGGAGGGCAAGGGGGGAAGAAAGAACGUUUAUAAUUGCUGCGUCACCUAAGCUCAGUACCCAACUACCCAAAGCAGAGGCAAGAAGCACGAGAGAACCGUGUCUCAUCUUUUUUAAACAAACCUGUUCUGCAUUUUGGAGGCAAUAAAGAAGCAAGAAAAACAAGUAAGUCGCUCUGCAGCAAAAAAUAUGAGAAAAUUUGUGAAGAAAAUACAACUGAAAGACUGCAGUGAAUCAUGAGUUAAUCUUUUCCAGCCAUUCAGGGUGAACAGGGUACAGAAGGGCAGAUACAAGAACAUCUGCUCUCCCUUAGCUUGGUAUGAAAAUAACCCAGCAAUCCGCACAGAGAGUUUCUUUCAUUGCUAGUAUGUGUAGCUUUAAAUACAAGACUUGCUACUCUUUUUUUUUUUUCUUUUCCUCCGUAACAAAGCAUUUCUCUGCAUUAUUCUUCCCCAGUACCAACCUGUGAUUAUUAAUUGUCAAUUUAAUUUAUACUAUCUGUGACAACAAUUCUCGGUAUAAUCUGAUCAGUAAAGAUCCACUUACUAUUAGUGGCAUGUCUCAUGUAACUUUCAUCAAGAUUAUUAACAUUUGCAUUUUAUCAAGACCAAGGUACUCUAACUAAGAUGGAAGUCCCUGUGUCAGCACAACACAUUGGUAACUUAAGAUAGCCCUGCCCUGACUGUAGAGGCGAAGUGUCACUCUGAUUCCUCUUUUACAGGUGGAAAACUGUGACACAGCAAUCGAGUGAUCUGCCUGAGGAAACCAGGGAUGCUGUUAGACAUCAGAUUGAAAUCUAUAAUCCUUGACACCUAGGUAAGUGCUCAUACAGUAAGAUUGUGAAGAAUAGUGCAUCUCUUCACCCUUCUGUAAGAAAACUGAAUAUAAUCUAAAUAGAUUUAUACCAUCUCUCUCUUGAAAUUAAACGGAUAUGAAUUCAUAUUUUGCUAGGGUACAUCUAUUAUUGACUACUUUUCCUUAUACUUCUAAAGCUGAAAUGUACAAGUUGAACUCAAUGUGAAAGUAUUAAAUACAUAAUGUGUAGUUAAAAUAAUUAUAUUUAUACUUUGGGACUAUCCACUAACACUCAUUAGUAUCAAACCCUCACUAAGUACCAACCACCAUGAAAAAAAUGGCAAUUCCAGCAGACUCGAUGUGGACUAUUUAUAUCUCACUUUGUGAGAAAACCACUAGCUGGACUAAUCCUUGCCUUGACAUGUCAGAAUAUGGGAUUCGAACUACUUGUAAUUACUUUCUGAUGCGACACAACAUUGGUCAGGUGGCAGCAGAAAAGAGAAGUAUGUGCAUUCACUGAAAUCAGAUGCAGAAGUGUCAGACUAAUGUCACAUUUUAAGAAUAUGCUGGCUACUUAGAAUGCAGAGUUCUGUCAUUUCCACAGUGAGGACAUCAUCAAGAUCCAGAAAUCUUUCUGGAAAAAUUUUGACUAAUGGACCAUGUUGCAGAGCUUCAGAAAAACUGCACUGUAAAUAAGAGCUAUCAUAAACAGAAUAAUUUUUAUUGGAAUAUAUAGCCGUGUCCAUUUGCAAGAAAGUAAAGCCAGAUGGGGAAGUUUAAUUUACUUUGACUUAGUUUUGGCAUUCUCUGCAAAAUACUUUUACAAAUUGCCUUGAUACUCACAGAAUGUUUUGCACAGGAAAGGACAUGUUGGCGUACAACUCAUUAAUCUUCACAUACCCCUUCCAAUUGUGUAGUGCCAAUAUACACAAUAAGCCCAUAAUGAUAGAGGUUAUAACUUCUCAGCUCAUAAUUUAUUUCUGGCAGCAGAAUAAGUCAAAACUACUGGUGAAAAGAGUUUGUGUCAUUAUGAAAUAUAUUGUAAAGAUUUUCCUUCCUCCCAAUAGCAUUUUACCUUAAAGACUAGAAGAUCUGGAAAAAGAAAACAAAAGAAUAGUUUCUGCCAAUCAAAAUGCCCAGAGCCCAGACAGCAGGCGUGGGGACAUCUGAACCAGAAUGGAAAAACAUAGCAAGAACAUAAUCAUAGCUACCCUCAAACGACACCCACACCACUUCAACAUAAAGUUUAGCUCCCAACUUUUGCAUCAACUUUCACUUACUGAUACUGUUACUUAACUCACUGACAAUAAGAAAGUGUCUAGUGCAACUAAACUGUAUAAAAGCAUUUUUUUUAAUGUCCAUGCAUGUGAAUGAUUUAUAGUAAGAAAUCUAAUUAAUUCAAAAGGCCUAAUAACAUUAAGCCAACUGCCAGCCUACCAAACUGGGAGAUCACACUGCAACUAUCUAAUGCUAUGAGCAAGUUCUCCCUACUACUUUUUAAGAAAAGAUGUGAAAUGUAAAGAUUUUUAGAUAGCCUCAUGCACACCCUAAAGUAGAAAAAAGCUGUUAUAAAUGAGAACAUUUUCUCAUCUUCCAAUAGAUUCAAAGUUAUUUUCAAAAUAGUUUUAAGAAAAUAAUUUUGAUGCUGAACAUUCUCUUUUGUAAAUGCAAUUUCAGAUUAUACCAGUUAACAAAACAGGGUUGUAAUUAGUCUUUGCUGAUGUCAGCUAAAGAACGCUUCUAUGUGAGGAUGAUUUCCAGUUAAAAAACUUUGAUAUAAAUGGUAAAUUAAUUCUUUUUUUCCUCUAAACUUUAUCCCAUAUCACUGGCUUUGAAGUAAACUGUCCUAAAACAAGAUAGUAUGUGCACUGUUAAUACUUUAUGCUCAGAAGAUCAGCCAUGUGUAGAAUAGCUAUAUGUUCAUGUAAUAGGCUACAGUAUUUUGCUACAUGGUUAAAUGCAUGAUUUCCUCUAAUAGAAUGCCAGUGUGGUCUACAUCACAUUUUCUACUUCAUAAAGAUCAAAUGAACUGUAACCACAGUCUCCCUAACUUAAUGGAAAGUUCACUCAGUAACUUCCGAGUUUCAAUUGCACCUUUCUACUAUGAAUCAAUAGAUUUAAAACACAUUAAUGUAUCUCUUCACCAAAAGGUUUAAUCCCAAGUGACUAAAAAGGUAGCUCCAACUCAGAUUUAUCACUCUUGUAGCAUGCUGAACUACAGGUCUUCAAUCUUUGUAAUAUCACAAUGAAGUUGAAUUAAUAGGAAGACACCUACUUGAUGCAAAUCAUACCUCUGUCUAUGUAUUACUGUACCUUUACAGGUACGUACCAGUAGCUUUCAAUUCUUGCUUUGUGAACUGCUGGAAGAUUUCUACAACCUUACAGCCAAAGAACGACGUGUCCUUCUGUUAAGUGAAUGCAAAAAUUCAGAAGGACACCAAAAUAAAGAUUUUUUUUUUUUUUUUUUUUUUUUUUUUUUUUUUUUACUACCUCAAUCUACAGGAAAAUGAGAUGAAAUAAAAUGAAGCACCUAUAUUCCUACACCUAUAUACCUACAGAUUUUCACUAUGCUUACCAAGUUUGGGAAAUAUUCUAUAUGGUGAUGUAAGUUAAGUUAUUCAAAACUUAAUCAGAGUUUUGAAUAACUUCAUAAAUCUUUAAAACUCGAUCACAGCCUAGGAACACCAGAACAUCACUCUAGAUGCUAUGUCUGGGUCAUGAAAAUAAGGAGAAAGGAUAUGUGGUAGGA
rnacentral:lncRNA from 1 species